rnacentral:rRNA from 1 species
GUUUGAUCCUGGCUCAGGAUGAACGCUAGCGGCAGGCCUAAUACAUGCAAGUCGAGGGGCAUCACGGUAGCAAUACUGGUGGCGACCGGCGCACGGGUGCGUAACGCGUAUGGAACUUGCCCUUUACUGGGGCAUAGCCCGGAGAAAUUCGGAUUAAUACCCCAUGUUAUGAUGAUGUGGCAUCACAUUGUUAUUAAAGAUUUAUCGGUAAAGGAUAGUCAUGCGUCAGAUUAGCUAGUUGGCGGGGUAACGGCCCACCAAGGCGAUGAUCUGUAGGGGGUCUGAGAGGAUGAUCCCCCACACUGGUACUGAGAUACGGACCAGACUCCUACGGGAGGCAGCAGUAGGGAAUAUUGGUCAAUGGGCGAGAGCCUGAACCAGCCAUGCCGCGUGCAGGAAGAAUGCCCUCUGGGUUGUAAACUGCUUUUGAACGGGGCCAAAAAGGGCAUGCGUGCCAAAUUGAGAGUACCGUUAGAAUAAGCACCGGCUAACUCCGUGCCAGCAGCCGCGGUAAUACGGAGGGUGCAAGCGUUGUCCGGAUUUAUUGGGUUUAAAGGGUGCGUAGGUGGCCUUAUAAGUCAGUGGUGAAAGCCUGUCGCUUAACGAUAGGACUGCCAUUGAUACUGCAAGGCUUGAGUACUGAUGAGGUAGGCGGAAUUGAUAGUGUAGCGGUGAAAUGCAUAGAUAUUAUCAAGAACACCGAUUGCGAAGGCAGCUUACUAAGGAGUUACUGACACUGAGGCACGAAAGCGUGGGGAUCAAACAGGAUUAGAUACCCUGGUAGUCCACGCCAUAAACGAUGAUUACUCGCUGUGUGCGAUAGAUAGUACGCGGCCAAGCGAAAGCGUUAAGUAAUCCACCUGGGGAGUACGACCGCAAGGUUGAAACUCAAAGGAAUUGAC